rnacentral:rRNA from 1 species
AGCGAACGCUGGCGGCAGGCUUAACACAUGCAAGUCGAACGCCCCGCAAGGGGAGUGGCAGACGGGUGAGUAACACGUGGGAACGUACCCUUUGGUUCGGAAUAACUUGGGGAAACUCAAGCUAAUACCGGAUAAGCCCUUAUGGGGAAAGGUUUACUGCCGAAGGAUCGGCCCGCGUCUGAUUAGCUAGUUGGUGAGGUAAUGGCUCACCAAGGCGACGAUCAGUAGCUGGUCUGAGAGGAUGAUCAGCUACACUGGGACUGAGACACGGCUCAGACUCCUACGGGAGGCAGCAGUGGGGAAUAUUGGACAAUGGGGGCAACCCUGAUCCAGCCAUGCCGCGUGAGUGAUGAAGGCCUUAGGGUUGUAAAGCUCUUUUACCCGGGACGAUAGUGACUGUACCGGGAGAAUAAGCCCCGGCUAACUUCGUGCCAGCAGCCGCGGUAA